rnacentral:tRNA from 1 species
GCCCAUAUGGCUCAGUUGGUAGAGCAUUCGCCUAGACAGCGAAAGGCCCUCAAUUCAAGCCUGGGUUAAAUUUGUGGGUU